AUGCUCGAAUGUACUGUGAAAUUAAAGUUCGAGGCGAUCAACACCGCCCUGCGCUCGUUCAUCCAGAUACAUCUGUCGUCGAGAUCCAGCUGCACCAUGUCGCCAAUACUCGUUGUCAUCGACGGUCGACGCGGUAGAUACAACGCCGCUCCUCCUGCCAACCUCCACAUCGUCGCAUUGCUAGAGCUACGCGGAGCCCACCACCCACAACAACUCUUCCCUGAACACUUGAGCUUCCCAAGACGACGCCUCCAUGCAGGGUACGAUGCAGGCCGCCGCCGCCCAUCCAUACGGAUUUUGGACUUUCGUCCGGAAGAGGUUCAGAGGUGGAUAGGAUGGACCUUGACUUCGCCUCGAGGGGGGGUAACAACGUCGAGGGACGUCGUCGACGUUGGGCCGAACCAUCCCAUACCACCAAAUCUCCGUCUGCUGCUCCAGAUCCGGCAGCGAGCGUGA
rnacentral:rRNA from 1 species